GGAGUUCCCAUUGUGCUCAGUGGGUUAAGAACCUGACUAGAAAACAUGAGGAUGCAGGUUCCAUCCCUGGCCUCACUCAGUGGAUUAAAGAUCUGGUGUUGCCUCAAGCUACCGUGUAGGCUGCAGAUGCAGCUUGGAUCCUGAGUUGUUGUGGCUGAGGCUGGCAGCUACAGCUGCAAUUCAGCCCCUAGCCCAGGAACUUCCAUAUGCUGUGGGUGCAGCCAUAAAAAGAGGAAAAAAGAAAGAGGUAAAAAGGCAAGUUACAAAACCCCAUGUAUAAUGUGCUCCCAUUUAUGUAAAAGUAACUACCACUCACAAAACCAUUUAUUUCUGUAUAUACAUAAAUACAUAGAAAAGAACACAGAAGAUAUACAUGAAUUUGAUACUAGUGGUUACAAGACUUGAGGGACCAAGGAUCAAAGGGGUUUCCCUUAUCUGUAUUGUUACAAUUUGUUUUAGAAAUGUAUUCAUGUGUAGUAAACAAUGACCAAAAAAACCCCUCCACCCCUAAAUAUGAACCAAAAUGUAAAGGCCACCUUUAUAUGUACAAUGAGGAGUUCCCAUUGUGGCACAGUGGAAGUGAAUCUGACUAGUAUCCAUGAGGAUUCGGGUUCGUUAACCACUGAGCCACACCAGGAACUCCUCCCACUAAGUAUUUUUUAACCUUAUUUUUUUUUUUCUUUUUAGGGCCUCACCUGUGGCUCUUUAAAAAUAAAAAUAAAAAUAAAGACACAAUAUUAAGUGAACAAAAUAGGAUAAAAAUGUGUACAAACAGCCUAAUCAUAAUUUUGGAUUGGGAAGAUGGAGAGAAAUGUCUAUAAAAAAAAAAUUCAAAGGAAAUACAGUACAUGUAAAAACAAGCCUGUGCCCUUUUCUCUGCCCUCCAUUGCCUCUCCUCAGCCCCAGUCGCUCUUCAGAAACUGGCUUCAAAUCCUACCGAGGCACUAUUAUACCAUGCAGUGACCUCCCUUAGUCAUCACACAAUUACCUUACUCAUCAUCAUACUUUCCGUAACUUUUUGGGUCCUCCCUCCAGAGGACAAAUAUUUGCCACAACUAGGAAUGUUACAGACUCUAAAACAACUAUUAUACCUUGAUAUAUGGCUCUAUGCUAAUCAACACAACUUCCAUGUAAGAUGUUAGGCUGGUGCUACAUGUACCCCAUUCUAAAGACCUGGAUUUCUGCCAAGGAGCUACUAUCUCCUCUCUGUGGACAGCUAAGACAUAUAUAAGAAAGAGUAAGUCACAAAACAAGAGGACACAAAAGCAGAACAGGGAAUAGGUGCUACAAAGAGUUCAUACACAUUUGCACGAAGAUACACAGUGAGUUACUGCCCUUUACUGAAUAUUCCCUUUCCCCACUUGAACCAAAUAUGAACCCCUCAGAUACAACAGUUCUAUCUCAUCCCUUAUUUUAUUUUUUGGAUAUAUAUCCAGGAGAGGAAGAUUCCAUUGGUGAUUUUAUUUAUUUAUUUUCUGGCUGCACCCGUAGCAUGUGGAAGUAACCAGGCCAGGGACUGAACCCAAGCUACAGCUGCAGCCUGCACCACAGUUGAGGCAAUUCCACACCCUUAACCCACUGAGCCACAAGUAAACUUCCUCAUUCCUUAUUUUUAUAUCUAAACCUAAUGUCUAGUGUGUCUGGCAGAUUGUAAGUGCUUAAUAAAUGUUGCUAAAUUAAUGAUACUCUAUGCUCUUGUAGAGUUAAUAUGCGAAUGUUUGUGCAAGCUCAUUACUGCAGUAUGAGUAACAGUGGGGAAUGCACCGAGGUAAAUGGUGGUUUCGGGAAGAAAUAAGAUAGAACUUGCUCCUGGUGUAUUUCAGACUGAAAACGUUAGGAUACACUGAGGUAGCUGCCAUCAGGGGACUCUGCUAACUCAAUGGACUCCUCCCAGACUUCAGUUCUCUGGUGAGGGGCUAGACGAGGCGGGGAAGUCUAGAACUGAACUGAAUAUAGUUUCCUUUACUUUUCAGAUGAGAAAAGCAAUGCAAGCAAGCUGUCCCUCUUUUCUUCAGGUUGGAUCACAGUAGUGACCUUGACAGAAGCCUCAGUGCCUAGCUUACCCUCGGCAUUGACACCCCAAUCUCCCUUCUUCUGCUCCAUAUGUAUCUCCAGCUGUUAUCCUGCCUCUCCAGCCCUUGGUCAAGGACAGAAGCCAUGCUAGCCAAUAGACAGUCGUCUUUUUGAAGUCCCAACUAGGAACCAGUGCCUUAAACCUCCCAGGGAAGCAAUUAUCUGAUUUGAAGGGAUGGCUCAUCCCUAAAAUGUUGACAAGACCACAGAGACCAAACUCAAAGUUCAGCCUGAAUGCAAUGAGGAAAGGGAACUGAGAAUAUGUCUUGAAUUCUCCAUCCUGGAUUUUCUUGUUCUCCACGACACAGACACAUUUAAGGAUUAGUAUCUGUCUUUCUAGAACAACUUUCAAAGUUCACCUGGCUUUGGGCAAACUUUAAGACUUUA
ensembl:lncRNA